rnacentral:rRNA from 1 species
AAAUAAUACAAUUAAAUUAUUUUGGUUUUAAUAAAUUGAUAAUUUUAAAUUUUAAAUAAAAUUUUAUUAAGUGAAAUUUUAAAUUUUUAUAAGAUUUAUAUUUUUUAAUGAAUUAAUAAAUUUUAAGUAUAAACUAGGAUUAGAUACCCUAUUAUUUAAAAUGUAAUUUUAAAAACUAGAUUAGUAAUAGUUAUGAUCUUGAAAAUUAAAGAUUUUGGCGGUAUUUUAGUCUAUUCAGAGGAACUUGUUCUAUAAUUGAUAAUCCACGAUUUAAUUUACUUUUUUUAGAUAAAUUUAUAUAUCGUCGUAGGUUGAAUAUUUUAUAAGAAUUUUAAUAUUCAAGAUUUAUAAUAAUAAAAGAAAUCAGAUCAAGGUGUAGUUUAUAAAAAAGAAGAAAUGAGUUACUAUAAUUAAAAUUUAGAAUAGUUGUUAGUAUAACAAUUUGAAUAAGGAUUUGACAGUAAUUUUAAUUAAUUAAUUAAAAUGAUUUUAGCUCUAAAAUAUGUACACAUCGCCCGUCACUCUUACUGGCCG